CCACGAGCCGUCAGACCUGGGUGGCUACCAACACCCUGAGCAAGGCGGCCUUCCUGUUGACAGUGCUAAGUGAGCGUCCAGAGCACCACAACCUGGCCUUCCGAGUUGGCAUGUUUGCCUUGGAGCUACAGAGGCCUCCAGCUUCUACCAAGGCCUUGGAGGUAAAGCUGGCAUACCAGGAGUCUGAGGUGGCUGCCCUGCUCAAGAAGAUCCCUCUGGGUCCAAGCGAGAUGAGUACCAUGCGGUGCCGGGCAGAGGAACUUCGGGAGGGGACACUCUGUGACUAUCGGCCUGUGUUGCCUCUCAUGCUGGCCAGUUUCAUCUUUGACGUUCUCUGUGCUCCAGGUUCCCGGCCCCCAAGUCGCAACUGGAACAGCGAGACACCUGGGGAUGAGGAGCUGGGAUUUGAAGCAGCAGUUGCUGCCUUGGGCAUGAAGACAACAGUGAGUGAGGCAGAACAUCCCCUCUUAUGUGAAGGCACACGUCGGGAGAAGGGUGACCUGGCAUUAGCACUAAUGAUCACUUACAAGGACGACCAGGCCAAGCUUAAGAAGCCUGGGCAACAGAGCGAGACCCUGUCUCUUAAAAAAAAAA
rnacentral:sRNA from 1 species